rnacentral:rRNA from 1 species
GUGGGGAAUAUUGGACAAUGGGCGAAAGCCUGAUCCAGCCAUGCCGCGUGUGUGAAGAAGGUCUUCGGAUUGUAAAGCACUUUAAGUUGGGAGGAAGGGCAGUAAGUUAAUACCUUGCUGUUUUGACGUUACCGACAGAAUAAGCACCGGCUAACUUCGUGCCAGCAGCCGCGGUAAUACGAAGGGUGCAAGCGUUAAUCGGAAUUACUGGGCGUAAAGCGCGCGUAGGUGGUUUUGUAAGUUGGAGGUGAAAUCCCCGGGCUCCAACUGGGAACUGGCUCCAAAACUGCAUGACUAGAGGACGGUAGAGGGUAGUGGAAUUUCCUGUGUAGCGGUGAAAUGCGUAGAUAUAGGAAGGAACACCAGUGGCGAAGGCGACUACCUGGACUGAUACUGACACUGAGGUGCGAAAGCGUGGGGAGCAAACAGGAUUAGAAACCCCGGUAGUCC